UGGAUCAAUAAUGAUUCUUGGUGGUGUAGGAGUCAUGACAAUGAAAAUACAUGUCUGAGACUCUGAGAUCUAG
ensembl:snoRNA